UACGUAGGUGGCGAGCGUUGUCCGGAUUUAUUGGGCGUAAAGCGCGCGCAGGCGGUGCGGUAAGUCCGUCGUGAAAUCUCCCGGCUCAACUGGGAGGGUGCGGUGGAGACUGCCGGACUGGAGGCACUCAGAGGCCGGUGGAGUUCCCGGUGUAGUGGUGAAAUGCGUAGAGAUCGGGAGGAACACCAGUGGCGAAGGCGGCCGGCUGGGAGUGACCUGACGCUGAGGCGCGAAAGCGUGGGGAGCGAACCGG
rnacentral:rRNA from 1 species